rnacentral:rRNA from 1 species
AUUGAACGCUGGCGGCAUGCCUUACACAUGCCAGUCGAACGGUAACGGGCCUUCGGGUGCCGACGAGUGGCGAACGGGUGAGUAAUACAUCGGAACGUGCCCGAUCGUGGGGGAUAACGAGGCGAAAGCUUUGCUAAUACCGCAUACGAUCUACGGAUGAAAGCAGGGGACCGCAAGGCCUUGCGCGGACGGAGCGGCCGAUGGCAGAUUAGGUAGUUGGUGGGAUAAAAGCUUACCAAGCCGGCGAUCUGUAGCUGGUCUGAGAGGAUGAUCAGCCACACUGGGACUGAGACACGGCCCAGACUCCUACGGGAGGCAGCAGUGGGGAAUUUUGGACAAUGGGCGCAAGCCUGAUCCAGCCAUGCCGCGUGCAGGAUGAAGGCCUUCGGGUUGUAAACUGCUUUUGUACGGAACGAAAAGCCUUCUUUUAAUACAGGAGGGUCAUGACGGUACCGUAAGAAUAAGCACCGGCUAACUACGUG